UGAAUACGAGAUGCUACGGCGUCGAAGCAGUGUAUGUCAGACUUCCAAGAAAAGCUCGCAAUGUCAUAAAUAAAGAAUGCCUGUACCAUAACCGACACAGGUGGGUAGGUAGAGUAUACUAAGGGGCGCGAGAUAACUCUCUCUAAGGAACUCGGCAAAAUAACUCCGUAACUUCGGGAGAAGGAGUGCCUUCUAUUAGAAGGUUGCAAUAACAAGAUCCAAGCAACUGUUUAUCAAAAACACAGGUCUCCGCUAAGUCGUAAGACGAUGUAUGGGGGCUGACGCCUGCCCAGUGCCAGAAGGUUAAAGAAGUUGGUUAGCUUUGGCGAAGCUGAUGACUGAAGCCCUGGUGAACGGCGGCCGUAACUAUAACGGUCCUAAGGUAGCGAAAUUCCUUGUCGGGUAAGUUCCGACCCGCACGAAAGGCGUAAUGAUUUGGAUACUGUCUCGGAGAGGGACUCGGUGAAAUAGACUUGUCUGUGAAGAUGCGGACUACCUGCACCAGGACAGAAAGACCCUAUGAAGCUUUACUGUAACUUGAAAUUGAAAUUGGACUUUAUUUGCGCAGCAUAGGUGGAAGGCGUUGAGAUUACUCUUGCGGGAGUACUGGAGCCAUCAGUGAGAUACCACUCCUAUAAUGUUAGAUUUCUAACUUUGGAUCAUGAUCUGGUCAAAGAACAGUUUCAGGCGGGCAGUUUGACUGGGGCGGUCGCCUCCCAAAUGGUAACGGAGGCGUACAAAGGUUUCCUCUGAACGGGUAGAAAUCGUAUCUAGAGUGUAAAGGCAUAAGGAAGCUUGACUGUGAGACCUACAAGUCGAGCAGGGACGAAAGUCGGUCUUAGUGAUCUGACGGUGCUGAGUGGAAAGGCCGUCACUCAACGGAUAAAAGUUACUCUAGGAUAACAGGCUGAUCUCCCCCAAGAGUUCACAUCGACGGGGAGGUUUGGCACCUCGAUGUCGGCUCAUCGCAUCCCGGGGCGGUAGUACGUCCCAAGGGUUGGGCUGUUCGCCCAUGAAAGCGGUACGCGAGCUGGGUUCAGAACGUCGUGAGACAGUUCGGUCCAUAUCCGGUGUAGGCGUUAGAAUAUUGAGAGGAGCCUUCUUUAGUACGAGAGGACCGAGAAGGACAUACCUCUGGUGUACCAGUUAUCGUGCCAACGGUAAACGCUGGGUAGCUAUGUAUGGAGAGGAUAACCGCUGAAAGCAUCUAAGUGGGAAGCCCACCUCAAGAUGAGUAUUCUCAC
rnacentral:rRNA from 1 species